GAUGAACGCUAGCGGCAGGCUUAACACAUGCAAGUCGAGGGGUAUAGGUUUUCGGACCUAGAGACCGGCGCACGGGUGCGUAACGCGUAUGCAAUCUACCUUUCACAGAGGGAUAGCCCAGAGAAAUUUGGAUUAAUACCUCAUAGUAUAGCAGUUUCGCAUGAAACCACUAUUAAAGUAUCAACGGUGAAAGAUGAGCAUGCGUCCCAUUAGCUAGAUGGUAAGGUAACGGCUUACCAUGGCUACGAUGGGUAGGGGUCCUGAGAGGGAGAUCCCCCACACUGGUACUGAGACACGGACCAGACUCCUACGGGAGGCAGCAGUGAGGAAUAUUGGUCAAUGGACGCAAGUCUGAACCAGCCAUGCCGCGUGCAGGAUGACGGUCCUAUGGAUUGUAAACUGCUUUUGUACGAGAAGAAACAACAUUACGUGUAAUGUCUUGACGGUAUCGUAAGAAUAAGGAUCGGCUAACUCCGUGCCAGCCGCCGCGGUAAUAC
rnacentral:rRNA from 1 species